rnacentral:tRNA from 1 species
GAUUCUGUGGUGUAGUGGUUAUCACGUUUGCUUUACACGCAAAAGGUCUCCAGUUCGAUCCUGGGCAGAAUCA